CAUGCAGUCGAACGGCAGCGCGGGAGCAAUCCUGGCGGCGAGUGGCGAACGGGUGAGUAAUACAUCGGAACGUGCCCAAUCGUGGGGGAUAACGCAUCGAAAGCUGUGCUAAUACCGCAUACGAUCUACGGAUGAAAGCAGGGGAUCGCAAGACCUUGCGCGAAUGGAGCGGCCGAUGGCAGAUUAGGUAGUUGGUGAGGUAAAGGCUCACCAAGCCUUCUAUCUGUAGCUGGUCUGAGAGGACGACCAGCCACACUGGGACUGAGACACGGCCCAGACUCCUACGGGAGGCAGCAGUGGGGAAUUUUGGACAAUGGGCGCAAGCCUGAUCCAGCCAUGCCGCGUGCAGGAUGAAGGCCUUCGGGUUGUAAACUGCUUUUGUACGGAACGAAACGGCUCUUUCUAAUAAAGAGGGCUAAUGACGGUACCGUAAGAAUAAGCACCGGCUAACUACGUGCCAGCAGCCGCGGUAAUACGUAGGGUGCAAGCGUUAAUCGGAAUUACUGGGCGUAAAGCGUGCGCAGGCGGUGAUGUAAGACAGUUGUGAAAUCCCCCGGGCUCAACCUGGGAACUGCAUCUGUGACUGCAUUGCUGGAGUACGGCAGAGGGGGAUGGAAUUCCGCGUGUAGCAUUGAAAUGCGUAGAUAUGCGGAGGAACACCGAUGGCGAACGCAAUCCCCUGGGCCUGUACUGACGCUCAUGCACGAAAGCGUGGAGAGCAAACAGGAUUAGAUACCCUGGUAGUCCACGCCCUAAACGAUGUCAACUGGUUGUUGGGUCUUCACUGACUCAGUAACGAAGCUCACGCGUGAAGUUGACCGCCUGGGGAGUACGGCCGCGAGGUUGAAACUCACAGGAAUUGACGGGGACCCGCACAAGCGGUGSAUGAUGUGGUUUAAUUCGAUGCAACGCGAAAAACCUUACCCACCUUUGACAUGUACGGAAUUUGCCAGAGAUGGCUUACUGCUCGAAAGAGAACCGUAACACAGGUGCUGCAUGGCUGUCGUCAGCUCGUGUCGUGAGAUGUUGGGCUUAAGUCCCGCAACGAGCGCAACCCUUGUCAUUAGUUGCUACAUUCAGUUGGGCACUUUAAUGAGACUGCCGGUGACAAACCGGAGGAAGGUGGGGAUGACGUCAAGUCCUCAUGGCCCUUAUAGGUGGGGCUACACACGUCAUACAAUGGCUGGUACAAAGGGUUGCCAACCCGCGAGGGGGAGCUAAUCCCAUAAAACCAGUCGUAGUCCGGAUCGCAGUCUGCAACUGGACUGCGUGAAGUCGGAAUCGCUAGUAAUCGUGGAUCAGAAUGUCACGGUGAAUACGUUCCCGGGUCUUGUACACACCGCCCGUCACACCAUGGGAGCGGGUUCUGCCAGAAGUAGUUAGCUAACCGCAAGGAGGGCGAU
rnacentral:rRNA from 1 species